AGGAAAUAUGCCGGUUUGAACUGUGCAAACUGUGCAGGCUUUAGGUAGAAAUGGUAGAUGGGUCUGGAAGGCAAGGUGUAAGGCGGACCAAUGGGCAGAACCCUGAUACCUCCCUUCCUUUCUGAGAACAGGACAACCUUAGUUUCUAAAGAGGACCUACACAUCCUGCCCCUGGGCUGCAGGGUUUGUGCUUAUAUUCUGAUUGUAACUCUGCAGAGCUGUGGGACUUUGCUCAGGACCUAUACCCUGCAUUUUGAUUUCUGUGGGCCCCUGUGCAGCUCCAAUCUUUUGUAGAAAGUCUGUGGAGUCCAGAAUCCAGUCCAGAAACAACCUUCAAGGACCCACACACACCUUCUUUUCCUCUCUCUGGGACUCACAGACAGCUGGACUACAGCUGGACAGAGUCAAGGACAUGGGCUGCGAGUGCAGAUUAAACCUCUCCGCCCCACCCCCACCCCCGCCCUGCCUUAAGCUGAGCAGAAUAAUGAGCAAAGGAAUAUAGGAGCAUUUCUCUAAAGAAAUUCUGGUGCCAAAAGCAAAGCACAGACUGUCUGAGCCAGAUCCUUGCAGUACAAAACAGCAUGUACGCUACAGUAGGCAAGACGCUGCAUUCCCGGACACAAAUAGAGACAACCAGGAGGAGGUUGUACCUAGGUAAGGACACUGGCCCACCCCAGACAGCAGGAUUUUGCAGUUUUAGAGGGUUUUUCCCAACUUUUGCUGAUCCGUGCUAAGUGAUCUACAAUGAUUAUUUCUAUAAAAUAAAUAAAAUAGAAACUCCGCC
rnacentral:lncRNA from 1 species